CCUACGGGAGGCAGCAGUGGGGAAUAUUGCACAAUGGGGGAAACCCUGAUGCAGCGACGCCGCGUGAGUGAAGAAGUAUUUCGGUAUGUAAAGCUCUAUCAGCAGGGAAGAAAAUGACGGUACCUGAUUAAGAAGCCCCGGCUAACUACGUGCCAGCAGCCGCGGUAAUACGUAGGGGGCAAGCGUUAUCCGGAUUUACUGGGUGUAAAGGGAGCGUAGACGGCAGCACAAGUCUGGAGUGAAAUGCCGGGGCUCAACCCCGUCGUGCCGUUGAAACUGACGCCCUUGAGUGAGUGAGAAGUAAGCGGAAUGCGUGGUGUAGCGGUGAAAUGCAUAGAUAUCACGCAGAACGCCGAUUGCGAAGGCAGCUUACCGGCGCUCAACUGACGCUGAGGCACGAAAGUGCGGGUAUCGAACAGGAUUAGAUACCCUGGUAGUC
rnacentral:rRNA from 1 species